ACAAUCCAGCAUUGGCUUGGUUGUCUGGUUCUGUGUAGGAGCUGUUAAUAUCUGCAGUCACAAAUCUCACUUCUGACAUAAGUGCUACAUCACUUUAGGUUUUUGAUACACGAUCACUGUUCAAAGCAGCUGGGGUAAUCCUGACCAGUCACGCUCCAUGAGAUAAUAAAAGUGAAAAGGUUUUUCUUGCAGGAUCACAUCUAGUGCCGGCCGUUGUUGUUCACGUGCUUUGAAAUGGAGACUGCUGUGUGCUUUCCCACUGAUUUCCACCCAGGCUUUUUUAAGUUGGCAUUUCCUGGCAAAAUGCUGAGCAACUAGAACUGCGUUAGACCUUUCACAAGAAAGUACCUGCUCCUUCUGGUCUUGCAACAUGACAGAAAACACAGUUUCCUUUUUUAGGAAGCUCUUGCAUGAAGAUCAGCUGUUGUGGUUUGGUACAUGAAUGAGAGAGACUCUUGUUAUACCUGGUACCUCAUCUGCUCUACAGUCUUACAUGGUUGUAAGAUAAAGAACUGUGAUGUGCAACAAGGCAACUUGGAUCUCAAAGCCUGAUCUAAACACGAGUAAAGCAAGAACUUUGGUGGAUGUAGCAUCAGACCCCUUUUGCUGCCUUAUCCCCAAGGAGCAAGAUCUAAG